rnacentral:lncRNA from 1 species
CCUCAAUUCCGAGUUCUGAAGUAGGAUAGCCGCUGUGGGAAGGCAUCAAGCUAUCCUUUCCCCGCCCCUUCACUGAGCAGAGCCCCCAAGCCCUGGCCUCCCACAGAACAAUGCAAGGAUCUCUGACACACCGCCGUCUGAACAUCUGUUGGAUGGGACUACCCAGCAUCA